rnacentral:lncRNA from 1 species
AUGGACCAUCUCACUCUUGAUACACGAAGUAUCAUCUUAAAUUUUAACAGUGUGAAGGAGUUCAUCUACAAGCUGAGUGGCUUCCUUCACAGCUUAUCAGCUUUCAUGUUUGAAAUACUCAUUGCAAGCAGCUUAUCCUGGCGCCUAUGGGAAUUUGACAAUAAUGUUGUGCAGUUUGUGUCGUUUUUACUGUGGGCAGCAUGUUGCCCUCAACAGUCUAAUAUCUCUGGGACACUAACCACAAUGCUGGUAUACACUAAUAUUAAUUCAACUUGAAACAUUUCAACUGAAUUUUUGUAUGCACAGAACCUGAUAGUAUGGGCCAUUUUGAUGAAGCCCGUGGUUCUGGAUUUUUAGUGCAAUGGCCAUUAAGAUCAGUUCCCAGAAACACCCAUUUGUGGAGAUGCAGAUAUAUUGCUACAAGACAUCUGCCUUAAUUUUGUCUCUUAGCAGAAUGUUCACAUUUGUUUCUUUGACCUGGAACCACAUGGUAGAUCUUUAUGGACAAACCACUCUUGAUUUUCCACCUGAUUUUCCUGUUAAGAAAGAAGCCUUGCGAAGUAAACAUUUAACAGCUGUGCUGCCAGUAAGACUCUUGAUAUCCACCAUGUCACUCCUUGGUGUGAUCAUACGUGUCUCUGAGAUAUGCUAUUUGAAACUACAAAGUCCUGUGAAGGCGAAGUGUGCUUCCAAAACAGCCCUUCUCAAGGCCUGA